rnacentral:rRNA from 1 species
GACGAACGCUGGCGGCGUGCUUAACACAUGCAAGUCGAACGGAAAGACCCUGCUUUUGUGGGGUGCUCGAGUGGCGAACGGGUGAGUAACACGUGAGUAACCUGCCCUUGACUGUGGGAUAACUUCAGGAAACUGGGGCUAAUACCGGAUAGGAGCUCCUGCUGCACGGGGGGGGAUGGAAAGUUUCGGCGGUUGGGGAUGGACUCGCGGCUUAUCAGCUUGUUGGUGGGGUAGUGGCGUACCAAGGCUUUGACGGGUAGCCGGCCUGAGAGGGUGACCGGCCACAUUGGGCCUGAGAUACGGCCCAGACUCCUACGGGAGGCAGCAGUGGGGAAUAUUGCACAGUGGGCGGAAGCCUGAUGCAGCAACGCCGCGUGCGGGAUGACGGCCUUCGGGUUGUAAACCGCUUUCGCCUGUGACGAAGCGUGAGUGACGGUAAUGGGUAAAGAAGCACCGGCUAACUACGUG